AUUGUACUCCCUCCGUCCGGAAAUACUUGUCCCGGGAUUGGAUGUAUCUAGAUGUAUUUUAGUUCUAGAUACAUUCCAUUUGUAUCCAUUUUUUCGACAAGUAUUUCCGGACAGAGGGGGUAUAUU
rfam:Triticum aestivum genome assembly, contig: Triticum_aestivum_CS42_TGACv1_scaffold_179750_2DS